rnacentral:rRNA from 1 species
ACGAACGCUGGCGGCGUGCUUAACACAUGCAAGUCGAGCGGUAAGGCCCUUUCGGGGGUACGACGAGCGGCGAACGGGUGAGUAACACGUGGGUGACCUGCCUUUAGCUCUGGGAUAAGCCUGGGAAACUGGGUCUAAUACCGGAUAUGACCCUAUGGCGCAUGUUGUGGGGUGGAAAGCCUUGUGCGGCUAGGGAUGGGCCCGCGGCCUAUCAGCUUGUUGGUGGGGUGAUGGCCUACCAAGGCGACGACGGGUAGCCGGCCUGAGAGGGCGACCGGCCACACUGGGACUGAGACACGGCCCAGACUCCUACGGGAGGCAGCAGUGGGGAAUCUUGCGCAAU